rnacentral:rRNA from 1 species
AGUGAACGCUGGCGGUAGGCCUAACACAUGCAAGUCGAACGGCAGCACAGUAAGAGCUUGUUCUUACGGGUGGCGAGUGGCGGACGGGUGAGGAAUACAUCGGAAUCUACUUUUUCGUGGGGGAUAACGUAGGGAAACUUACGCUAAUACCGCAUACGACCUACGGGUGAAAGCAGGGGAUCUUCGGACCUUGCGCGAUUGAAUGAGCCGAUGUCGGAUUAGCUAGUUGGCGGGGUAAAGGCCCACCAAGGCGACGAUCCGUAGCUGGUCUGAGAGGAUGAUCAGCCACACUGGAACUGAGACACGGUCCAGACUCCUGCGGGAGGCAGCAGUGGGGAAUAUUGGACAAUGGGCGCAAGCCUGAUCCAGCCAUACCGCGUGGGUGAAGAAGGCCUUCGGGUUGUAAAGCCCUUUUGUUGGGAAAGAAAAGCAGCAGGUUAAUACCCCGCUGUUCUGACGGUACCCAAAGAAUAAGCACCGGCUAACUUCGUG